UACGUAGGGGGCAAGCGUUGUCCGGAUUUAUUGGGCGUAAAGAGCGUGUAGGCGGCCUGUUAGGUCAGUUGUGAAAACUCGAGGCUCAACCUCGAGACGCCGAUUGAAACCAUCAGGCUAGAGUCCGGAAGAGGAGAGUGGAAUUCCCGGUGUAGCGGUGAAAUGCGCAGAUAUCGGGAAGAACACCCGUGGCUAAGGCGGCUCUCUAGUACGGUACUGACGCUGAGACGCGAAAGCGUGGGGAGCGAACAGG
rnacentral:rRNA from 1 species